UACGUAGGGGGCUAGCGUUGUCCGGAUUUAUUGGGCGUAAAGAGCGUGUAGGCGGCCAGGUAGGUCUGCUGUGAAAACUCGAGGCUCAACCUCGAGACGUCGGCGGAAACCAUCUGGCUAGAGUCCGGAAGAGGAGAGUGGAAUUCCUGGUGUAGCGGUGAAAUGCGCAGAUAUCAGGAGGAACACCGGUGGCGGAAGGCGGGUCUCUGGGC
rnacentral:rRNA from 1 species